UCAACAAAAGCUCUGAGUAAUAUUUAGAAUCAAAGUGUCUAGCUUUUAGAAGCUCUAAAAACAUGAAUUAAAGGGGAUGUUGGGUUCAGAAAAACAACAAUGAUUUCUUGUCUAUACAAUUCAACUAUGCAGAACAUGUUAUACGUUCAGGUGGCUGUUUAAAUGAAGAAACUAUGGAAUUGAUUUAUGAGCUUCAAGACUAACUAUGGUAGUGAGAGAUUUGGGUUGAAACUUCAUCAUUGGAGCUUGGAUUGAGGCCAUUGGAGAUCAUUUGAGAGGAGAUUGGUGUUUCAAGAAAGGUUUGCCUACUGGUUAUAAGGCAAGUGAGACUUAAACUUCUUGAAUACUUGCUUUUCGACGUCUUGAUUUACAAAUUGCAUUAUUUGAUUUUCAAACAACUUGUACUUUGUGGAGCGAGCGUGUACUAGGUCAUGUAUAUUAUUUUAUGACGAAUUGUGACUUUGAGCCGUUUCUUCUAUGAAACCAUUCCAAUUGUUUUCAACUUUGAUAUCGUGAACUCUAUGAUAUUCCAACAUGACUGUUGAAUGAUUUCCUAUAAAAUGAGAAUGGCAUAAUAGGGAUUUACUGUUAUAUCAUGCUAGGGAUAUCUGACAUACUUAUAUACAUUACUUGAGUAGUCUUUCAUGACACUAGCUAAUUAUAUGAUUACUUGUACCGUAUAUUGUACAUAUUAGUUGGUAUUUGGCUGUUUGGUAUAGGGGACCUGAUUCCCGAGGGCUAUGGUUCAAGAUGAUUGGUCUAGGGAAUUUGACUCCCGAGGGCCUGUGGUUUCGGAUUUUGGUCUAGGGAACUUGACUCUCGAGGGCCUAUGGUUCAUGGUGAUUGGUCUAGGGAACUUGACUCCCGAGGGCCUAUGGUUCAGGAUUUUGGUUUAGGAAACUUGACUCCCGAGGGCCUAUGAUUUGACAUGGUGUGGUUGACCAGUAUCUAUGUGUUAUUUGUCUUACCUAUUGCUUGAGUAUACUAAUUAAGGUUAUAUAUGUAUACCGUUUGUUUCUUUCAUGCAUUUUAUUUUUAAGACUUGCUCAACAGGGUAUAGUUGCGGGGCGGGUCGAUGAUCUUGUUGGGAGUUACGCUCACUAUUGUUGUUUUUUAUUCUGUUUGUACAAAUUCUAACUCUAGUACUGUAGCGGUUCCUCUCUGAUCUCGUUCGAGGCACUACUAUUUUCAGUUGAGAUGAGCCAACCGCAUUCUGAUCGUGGUGGCACCUUUACUAUAAAUUUUACUUCUUCUCUCUUUUGAUUGUAUCGGGUUGUGUCCCUAGACUCUUGUAUUUGAAUUUGUAUUAGAUGCUCCUUGACUAUUUUGUGAGAGAUGGAUUUCAAUUCUUAGGUGUUUUCAGGCUUCAGGAUAUUUUCUUAUUAGUAUUGAUGGUUGUGGACACUUUAUGUUUGAUGGAUUGUCGUUUGGUUGAUUAGAGGGAUUAUUGACAUGCUUCUGUUUUAGGGGAAAUUCUGCCAAAUUUUUAAUGAUAUUUGGUAUUUGAUAGAUUAAUAUUUGUUUGCUUGGUAUGGGUAGUUGCUUGCUAUGUGCAAUCACGGCCUUUGAAUUUGGGUCGUGACACCUAGUGAAAGUUCAUAGCACAAAGCAAUAAUGUAAUGAUUUUUGAGAAAGAGAUAUGAUGGUUGGAAUAGGUCCAUAGACAUGUUCCAUUACACGUGAGCAGAUACAGAUGCAGGCACAUGAACACAGUUGGUACAAAUAUGUGAACUUAAGAUAGCAGAUCAGAGAUGGAAUGGUGAGUGCACAAGUGAAUGGAACUGCUCAAAAUACAUGUACCUGAUACACCCAAGCACAGUCCAAGAGGAGAGAAUAAAGUGGCCUGGUCACAGAACAAGGCAGCAAAGGGAGGGAAGAUCAGGAGAUAAGAUGACUCGGUGGAAAAAGUAGUUCAAUGAAGAGAUAGAAAGUGCACACAAGAUGGUCUAUCAAGUGGAGGAAUGGCCACAGGUCAUUAGGUGCAUUGGUUGAUUGACCCAGCAGUGAGAAGUGAUGAAGACUCAGACUCAGAAGACAACGUUCAGAAGGAAGAAAUUGUUCACCUAAAGAGUUUACAGACAAAGCAUGUGAGUCACGUUAACAAAAAAAUCAGGUCUGCAAACACGUUCCAACAAAGAGUAAGAACAAAAUCAAAAGUCAAAGAGUGAGUCAAGGUUGAAGACAUGAUUUAUUCCAGCAAUGAAUAAAGGCAUGAGAAGCAGACAGACACAGAGCAGCACAUGAUCAAUGAAACAGGUCUGUCAACAUGCUCCAUCAUCCAUACCAAAAGCAGACUUAAGAAGAAGUCAAAUGUAUGAACGUCAAAGGGAUGAUGAAACAAGUUUGAGGACAUGUCCUAUCUCAGAUAGUGCAUUGAUUCAGAGACAGACGAACCAGGUGGAUGAAACAGGUUGGUGAACAUGUUCUAAGGUAAGUCCUACAACAACUAGGAUUUUCAGUUUAUGAAAAGAACUUGGCGGUCUGAUAAGUUUUAUGUGAUUUAGAAGUGAUCGAGAAGAAAUCGAUUGAAAACAAGUCAUAAAGAGGCCAAAUUGAAGAAAACAAGAAAAGUGGCUAAAUUGCAAAAACUGCCAGAUUUGCAAUUUCGAAAAUCUGAAACUU